UACGUAGGGUGCGAGCGUUGUCCGGAAUUAUUGGGCGUAAAGAGCUUGUAGGCGGUUUGUCGCGUCUGCUGUGAAAUCUCAAGGCUCAACCUUGAGCUUGCAGUGGGUACGGGCAGACUAGAGUGUGGUAGGGGAGACUGGAAUUCCUGGUGUAGCGGUGAAAUGCGCAGAUAUCAGGAGGAACACCAACGGCGAAGGCAGCUCGCUGGGACGGUACUGACGCUAAGGCGCGAAAGCGUGGGGAGCGAACAGG
rnacentral:rRNA from 1 species